rnacentral:lncRNA from 1 species
AGACUUGAGCUGGGGUCCUCCGGGGUGGGGGGCCGGGGCGUUUCCACGCGGCCAAUCUGGUCUUGGGGACAGUUUCCGUCGUUGCAGUUUAGCAAAUCCGUUCAGCCUCUUUGUGUCUUUUCUUCCUCUAUGAACAAAAAUGUUUCUCUGCAAGUAAAGAUCAUUUCGGCGACACAUUGCACAACGAAUGCGGCGGUUCUACCCCUAGGACUGACAAACCUGAGUGAGUCCGCCGUAUCCGUGUUCCGUUCGCUUCGUAGACCGAGAGGUGGCAGGCGAGUCCGCACCCGAAUGGCAUUUUUUUUUUUGGUCAGCAGAUGUCGCCACACUCCAUUCUGGUAGAAUACUAUGUGGCGGGGCGAAACAUGCCCUUCCACAGGCUGCCC